GCCGAGGUAGCUCAACAGUAGAGCAGCGGUUUUGUAAACCGCAGGUUGGGGGUGCAAGUCCUCUCCUCGGCU
rfam:Parcubacteria bacterium DG_74_2 WOR1_52_54_806, whole genome shotgun sequence.